rnacentral:piRNA from 1 species
UGCAUGUCCGGGUAUCUGAGAGCUG